rnacentral:rRNA from 1 species
AACGUAGGACGCGAGCGUUUAUCCGGAGUUACUGGGCGUAAAGCGCGGGCAGGCGGUCUGACAAGUCUGAUGUGAAAUCUCCGGGCUUAACCGGGAGAGGCCAUUGGAAACUGACAGGCUGGAGGGCAGUAGAGGUAGGCGGAAUUCCGGGUGGAGUGGUGAAAUGCGUAGAGAUCCGGAGGAACACCAGAGGCGAAGGCGGCCUACUGGGCUGCACCUGACGCUGAGCCGCGAAAGCCAGGGGAGCGAACGGG